GAUGAACGCUAGCUACAGGCUUAACACAUGCAAGUCGCGGGGCAGCAUGGGGGUUGCUUGCAAUCCCCGAUGGCGACCGGCGCACGGGUGAGUAACGCGUAUCCAACCUGCCCUUCACCACGGGAUAACCCGGCGAAAGUCGGACUAAUACCGUAUGUUGUCCAUUGACGGCAUCCGAUUUGGACGAAAGGCUUGGCGGUGAGGGAUGGGGAUGCGUCCGAUUAGCCAGACGGCGGGGUAACGGCCCACCGUGGCUACGAUCGGUAGGGAUUCUGAGAGGAAGGUCCCCCACACUGGAACUGAGGCACGGUCCAGACUCCUACGGGAGGCAGCAGUGAGGAAGAUUGGUCAAUGAGCGUAAGCCUGAACCAGCCAAGUAGCGUGCAGGAUGACGGCCCUAUGGGUGGUAAACUGCUUUUAUGCGGGGAUAAAGUGGCCCACGUGUGGGCUUUUGCAGGUACCGCAUGAAUAAGGACCGGCUAAUUCCGUG
rnacentral:rRNA from 1 species